rnacentral:rRNA from 1 species
GACGAACGCUGGCGGCGUGCUUAACACAUGCAAGUCGAACGAAGAGCGAUGGAAGCUUGCUUCUAUCAAUCUUAGUGGCGCACGGGUGAGUAACGCGUAAUCAACCUGCCCUUCAGAGGGGGACAACAGUUGGAAACGACUGCUAAUACCGCAUACGAUCUAAUCUCGGCAUCGAGGAUAGAUGAAAGGUGGCCUCUACAUGUAAGCUAUCACUGAAGGAGGGGAUUGCGUCUGAUUAGCUAGUUGGAGGGGUAACGGCCCACCAAGGCGAUGAUCAGUAGCCGGUCUGAGAGGAUGAACGGCCACAUUGGGACUGAGACACGGCCCAGACUCCUUCGGGAGGCAGCAGGGGGGAAUCUUCCGCAAUGGACGAAAGUCUGACGGAGCAACGCCGCGUUAGUGAUGACGGCCUUCGGGUUGUAAAGCUCUGUUAAUCGGGACGAAAGGCCUUCUUGCGAAUAGUGAGAAGGAUUGACGGUACCGGAAUAGAAAGCCACGGCUAACUACGUG